CAGAAAUUACAAUUCCCAGCCCAGCCCAGCCUGCCCCCGGGCUCUUUCGCCCUCUCGAGCUCAGGAUAUUGGGGUUGAGCUUCCUUGGUCAGACGCUUCUGCUUGCAUUGUGAUCUGGGAGCCCAGACUGAGCAGCUGCUGCUUCCCUUGUGGGGUCUGGACUUGAGAGUGACUGGGAGUGAAGCUUCCUUUGUGCUCAGGCAAGGCUGCAGCGUAACAUCCAUGUUUUGCUCCAGCUCAUUCUGUCCUUCCAGGGACCAGGGAAAAGAAAUGGCUGCAGCGGAGCUAUUUGAGGGGCCAAUGGCCUUCGAGGAGGUGGCUGUGUAUUUCAGCAAAGAAGAGUGGGC